CCUGUCCCUCCGAGAGGAGACAGGAAGUGACGUGGGACUCCAACUUCCAUUGUUUUGAAUAGAGUUUUGGAAAGAGAAAGGACCGUAGGAUCCAGAAUGUUCCAAAUUGAUUUGACUGACAGACAAACGGACAGGCACACAGGCGGCAGUGAGACAGAUGGCUCUAGUGGUCCCUGGGAUGUUGCAGGUGAAUCAUCUCCCUUGGAAAACCUGUCACUCAAGACCAAACUACAAAUCUUCAACUCAAACGUCAAGUCCACCCUUCUAUAUGGCUCUGAAACCUGGAAGACCACCACUAACAUACCCAAUAAGCUGCAGACUUUCACCAACUGGUGCCUCAGACGCCUCCAGGGAAUCUACUGGCCCAACACCAUCUCAAACGCCAACCUGUGGGAACUCAAACAAGAAACAAUAGAAACCCAAAUCCGGAGGAGGAAAUGGAAGUGGAUAGGCCAUACACUCAGAAGACAGAAG
ensembl:lncRNA